CCUACGGGAGGCAGCAGUGAGGAAUAUUGGUCAAUGGACGUGAGUCUGAACCAGCCAAGUAGCGUGAAGGAUGACUGCCCUAUGGGUUGUAAACUUCUUUUAUAUGGGAAUAAAAUGCUCCACGUGUGGGGUUUUGUAUGUACCAUAUGAAUAAGGAUCGGCUAACUCCGUGCCAGCAGCCGCGGUAAUACGGAGGAUCCGAGCGUUAUCCGGAUUUAUUGGGUUUAAAGGGUGCGUAGGCGGCUUGUUAAGUCAGUUGUGAAAGUUUGCGGCUCAACCGUAGAAUUGCAGUUGAAACUGGCAGUCUUGAGUACGGUAGAGGUAGGCGGAAUGCGUGGUGUAGCGGUGAAAUGCUUAGAUAUCACGAAGAACUCCGAUUGCGAAGGCAGCUCACUGGACUGCGACUGACACUGAGGCUCGAAAGUGUGGGUAUCAAACAGGAUUAGAUACCCUAGUAGUC
rnacentral:rRNA from 1 species